AUGUUCCGAGGCGGAUCGCCGAUCUCGUCUCGACUGUGGACGCAGGCGGAGCUU
rnacentral:sRNA from 1 species